rnacentral:lncRNA from 1 species
ACGGUUGCUGAAGUGGUAAAGAAAGGGGAAAAAGUUGAAAUUGAGAAAACGAAACCAACUUUUGGAUUUCCGUGAAGCUAUUAUCACGCAGCACAUGUUUUUAAUAACGUGACGCCAUUUUCGCUCUUUCUCUCUCUAUGCAUGUGCUCUCUCUCUUUCUCUCUCUUCAACUUUCUCACUCUUCUUCUUACUAGCUGCUGCUUACAAAAUACAGUUGCAGAAAAUCAAGUAAAACGAGAUCUUCGUAUUUUCAACCCUAUUUCUUCUCUUCUGAUU